GGGGAAUAUUGGACAAUGGGCGCAAGCCUGAUCCAGCCAUGCCGCGUGGGUGAAGAAGGCCUUCGGGUUGUAAAGCCCUUUUGUUGGGAAAGAAAAGCAGCCGGCCAAUACCCGGUUGUUCUGACGGUACCCAAAGAAUAAGCACCGGCUAACUUCGUGCCAGCAGCCGCGGUAAUACGAAGGGUGCAAGCGUUACUCGGAAUUACUGGGCGUAAAGCGUGCGUAGGUGGUGGUUUAAGUCCGUUGUGAAAGCCCUGGGCUCAAACCUGGGACUGGCAGUGGAACCUGGAUCACAGGAGGGUGGAGGGGGGUAGGGGAAUUCCGGGGGAAGAAGUGAAAGGCGUAGAGACCGGGAGAAACACCAGUGGGGAAGGCGACUGCCGGGGCAACACUGACACUGAGGCACGAAAGCGUGGGGAGCAAACA
rnacentral:rRNA from 1 species